CGGUAGAAAGGGCUUGAGACGCUGGCGGCAGGCCUACACAUGCAGUCGAGCGGAUGAAGGGAGCUUGCUCCUUGUUUCAGCGGCGGACGGGUGAGUAAUGCCUAGGAAUCUGCCUGGUAGUGGGGGACAACGUUCCGAAAGGGGCGCUAAUACCGCAUACGUCCUACGGGAGAAAGUGGGGGAUCUUCGGACCUCACGCUAUCAGAUGAGCCUAGGUCGGAUUAGCUAGUUGGUGAGGUAAUGGCUCACCAAGGCGACGAUCCGUAACUGGUCUGAGAGGAUGAUCAGUCACACUGGAACUGAGACACGGUCCAGACUCCUACGGGAGGCAGCAGUGGGGAAUAUUGGACAAUGGGCGAAAGCCUGAUCCAGCCAUGCCGCGUGGGGGAAGAAGGUCUUCGGAUUGUAAAGCACUUUAAGUUGGGAGGAAGGGCAGUAAGUUAAUACCUUGCUGUUUUGACGUUACCGACAAAUAAGCACCGGCUAACUCUGUGCCACAGCCGCGGUAA
rnacentral:rRNA from 1 species